rnacentral:misc_RNA from 1 species
GAGAUUAUACAAAUCCAGCAAAUCUUUAAUGGUUGGUUGACCAGGAGCAGAUACUAUUCCUGCCUCGAUUGAACCAAAAGUGAGAAAUCCUCCAUAUUUUGCUGUGAGUAUCCUUGACAUCAAGCCUCUCUCACCCAUAACAAGUCCUAUCAUUGGGACUUGCGAAUGCACAAGCACAUGAAACAUCCGUGCAUUGUCUGUGAUGUCUAAAGCUGUUGUUGCAAUCUUCACUAUAUCAGCUCCUGUGGCUUG